UGGGGAAUAUUGGACAAUGGGCGCAAGCCUGAUCCAGCAAUGCCGCGUGUGUGAAGAAGGCCUGCGGGUUGUAAAGCACUUUAAGCAGGAAAGAAGGCUUCGAGGUGAAUACCCUUGGAGAUUGACGUUACCUGCAGAAUAAGCACCGGCUAACUCCGUGCCAGCAGCCGCGGUAAUACGGAGGGUGCGAGCGUUAAUCGGAAUUACUGGGCGUAAAGGGCGCGUAGGCGGUUCGGUGAGUCUGUCGUGAAAGCCCUGGGCUUAACCUGGGAACUGCGGUGGAUACUGCCGGACUCGAGUGUGGUAGAGGGCAGUGGAAUUUCCGGUGUAGCAGUGAAAUGCAUAGAGAUCGGAAGGAACACCAGUGGCGAAGGCGGCUGCCUGGACCAACACUGACGCU
rnacentral:rRNA from 1 species